CUUCAAAAUUAGCUGGACAGUGUUUUGUUGCUGGAGUUUGCUCCUGUGAUUGACACCAAUCAGAACCACCUUAAAGACAAUCCUUUCAUCUCUUAUCCAUCAGUUCCUUGCAAC